rnacentral:rRNA from 1 species
GAUGAACGCUGGCGGCGUGCCUAACACAUGCAAGUCGAACGGUGAUAUAUAGAUGAUUUCGGUCUGAAAUAUAUCAUAGUGGCGGACGGGUGAGUAACGCGUGGAUAACCUGCCCCGUACUGGGGGAUAGCAGCUGGAAACGGCUGGUAAUACCGCAUAAGCGCACGAGGGGGCCUCCCCCUGUGUGAAAAGAUUCAUCGGUACGGGAUGGGUCCGCGUCUGAUUAGCCAGUUGGCGGGGUAACGGCCCACCAAAGCGACGAUCAGUAGCCGGCCUGAGAGGGUGAACGGCCACAUUGGGACUGAGACACGGCCCAGACUCC